rnacentral:rRNA from 1 species
AUUGAACGCUGGCGGCAGGCCUAACACAUGCAAGUCGAACGAGUGGCGGACGGGUGAGUAAUGUCUGGGAAACUGCCUGAUGGAGGGGGAAAACUACUGGAAACGGUAGCUAAUACCGCAUACCAUCAGAUGUGCCCAGCUGGGAUUAGCUAGUUGGUGGGGUAACGGCUCACCAGGGCGACGAUCCCUAGCUGGUCGGAGAGGAUGACCAGCCACACUGGAACUGAGACACGGUCCAGACUCCUACGGGAGGCAGCAGUGGGGAAUAUUGGACAAUGGGUGCAAGCCUGAUGCAGCCAUGCCGCGUGUGUGAAGAAGGCCUUCGGGUUGUAAAGUACUUUCAGCGGGGAGGCGUUACCCGCAGAAGAAGCACCGGCUAACUCCGUGCCAGCAGCCGCGGUAAUUC